rnacentral:rRNA from 1 species
AGCGAACGUUAGCGGCGCGCUUAACACAUGCAAGUCGCACGAGAAAGGGCUUCGGCCCCGGUACAGUGGCGCACGGGUGAGUAACACGUGGGCAACCUUCCUCGAAGUGGUGGAUAACCUUCCGAAAGGAGGGCUAAUACAGCAUAAGACCACGUGGCUUCGGCUCUGGGGUUAAAGCAGGCCUCUGUACACAAGCUUGCGCUUCGGGAUGGGCCCGCGUCCCAUCAGCUAGUUGGUGAGGUAACGGCUCACCAAGGCUACGACGGGUAGCUGGUCUGAGAGGAUGGCCAGCCACACUGGAACUGAGACACGGUCCAGACUCCUACGGGAGGCAGCAGUGGGGAAUCUUGCGCAAUGGACGAAAGUCUGACGCAGCGACGCCGCGUGGGCGACGAAGGCCUUCGGGUUGUAAAGCCCUGUGGGGAGGGACGAACACUUUCUGGGUGAACAAUCCAGGGAGCUGACGGUACCUCCUUAGCAAGCAUCGGCUAACUCUGUGCCAGCAGCCGCCGUAAAAC